rnacentral:lncRNA from 1 species
GGGCCCUUUAUAGCGUGCUGUUCGGUGUGAGCCAAGGCUCCGUAUUGAAGGCCGUACCUUGGCCUAUAAUGGUUUACUUUUAUAGAUUAUUACGUUGAUGGAAAGUUGUCUCAUUGGCACUCAUACCACAUCUUCCUAUAUAUAUUGACACAUCUGUGUCAUAUCUGCUAUCGUUCACUAAAAUAUCGUCAUUUGAGCUUUAUGGACCAGCAAUAGGU